rnacentral:lncRNA from 1 species
AAAAAACAGUUCUCAGUUAACUUUCCAUCUUGUUAAGUAGAUACUUCCAUGGUGUGGCUAGCUCUAUUGCAGGGAAGUCAUUUAAGGGUUUUUUUUUUUUUUUCUCCCUUGUAAAUAUUUCUAAAGUUUCCACUAAUGUGGCAUGCAUUGUUUUAAUGUUCUUACUACCCGAGCAUCCUGCCAAUCUACUUCUAAGUUGUCAUACGUGCUUAUUGCCAAGGCCAUGUUUAAUUUCACGGUGGCUAGUUGUCACUCCUAUAUGAGCUUGUUGCCCUGUUUUAGUAUUUUUGACUGCUAUUCUGUAGACCCCAGAUUUUUGCUUGUUCUCUCUAAGUUUUUUUCAUUCCUAAGUCGGCCACAAACUGUUGGUUGCCUUUUAUAAGUUAACCUUUUAUGCAUUUUUUUUCUCUGAUUUCCUAG